UGGGGAAUAUUGCACAAUGGGCGAAAGCCUGAUGCAGCAACGCCGCGUGAGUGAUGAAGGCCUUCGGGUUGUAAAGCUCUGUCUUUUGGGACGAUAAUGACGGUACCAAAGGAGGAAGCCACGGCUAACUACGUGCCAGCAGCCGCGGUAAUACGUAGGUGGCAAGCGUUGUCCGGAUUUACUGGACGUAAAGGAUGCGUAGGCGGAUUUUUAAGUGAGAUGUGAAAACCCUAAGCUUAACUUGGGGACUGCAUUUCAUACUGGAAAUCUAGAGUGCGGGAGAGGAGAAUGGAAUUCCUAGUGUAGCGGUGAAAUGCGUAGAGAUUAGGAAGAACACCAGUGGCGAAGGCGAUUUUCUGGACCGUAACUGACGCUGAGGCAUGAAAGCGUGGGUAGCAAACAGGAUUAGAUACCCUGGUAGUCCACGCCGUAAACGAUGAGUACUAGGUGUAGGAGGUAUCGACCCCUUCUGUGCCGCAGUUAACACAAUAAGUACUCCGCCUGGGAAGUACGAUCGCAAGAUU
rnacentral:rRNA from 1 species